rnacentral:rRNA from 1 species
UACGUAGGGUGCGAGCGUUGUCCGGAUUUAUUGGGCGUAAAGAGCUCGUAGGCGGUUUGUCGCGUCGGCCGUGAAAUCUCCACGCUUAACGUGGAGCGUGCGGUCGAUACGGGCAGACUUGAGUUCGGUAGGGGAGACUGGAAUUCCUGGUGUAGCGGUGAAAUGCGCAGAUAUCAGGAGGGAACACCCGGUGGCGAAGGGCGGGGUCUCUGGGGCCGAUACUGACGCUGAGGAGCGAAAAGCGUGGGGGAGCAAACAGG